CGAGGACCUCUUUUUCCUGCAACUUUUUUUUGUAUGAACUUCGAAGUUGAACAAUCGCAAAAGGAAGCAGACACUUGGAGUAAGCGGGAACAUCGCAUAACAAAAGAUAAUAAUACUAUUUUGUUGACGUUUUCGUGGUGUAAAUCUGAAAAGUCGACUCGCACUUUAAAAAAUAUUUUUCGUGGCCAAACAUUGUGAUAGCAGUUUUCCCUGGAAUCUGUGUCUUACAACCGCGGAGGUGGGGAGAAGAAAGAUCAUCCUGAGAGACUGACACACACAGGGCAGGAGAAUGUACCAGACACUGACGCCUCUUAGUUCACAUUGCCCACCAGAGACCGAAGCAGCAUGCAGACCUGAGGAGAACCAACACUAGCUACAACGUUCUCUCCCUCCUCCAGUCCUCCCAGCCACCAAUGUUCUUUGAGGCUCUCUAUCCUCUCCUCUCUAUCUAUCCUCUCCUCUCUCUCUAUCCUCUCUCUCUUAUCCUCUCCUCUCUAUCCUCUCCUCUCUAUCUAUCCUCUCCUCUCCUCUUUCUCUAUCCUCUCCUCUCCCUGGGCAUAAUGAUCCAUCUCUACUGCUGAGCUCCACCUUACCCCCUAACCUCACCCCACCUUACCCUCUAACCUUACCCCACCUCUACCCUCUAACCUUACCCCACCUUACCCUCUAACC